GGUUCACUGGCUAUGAAGGCAUGGAGUGUAUCCUACACUUUAACUGGCGUUAACGGUACGUUAAUAGAAGAACUUCAACAAGGAGCAUGGGUGAAGACAAGCAGCAAAAAGAAUGAAGAAAUAGUCUCUCAUUUGACAGCCUUGAAUUUGUCCGCAAUCCUGAUGUAAGAUGGAGCUAAUCUUACAAAGAGAAUGAGAUGGCCAGCAGCUUCCCCAAAGGGGGAGUUUGCUAUUCAUGGAUAUGG